GUCACUAUGAUAAAGUGAACAUAGAGGUACACCAAUCCUCUCAUUUCCUACAAACAUUAACCACAAACCAGU
rnacentral:tRNA from 1 species